GCCCGCUACAAGAAACUACAAAGGAAUUCGGACGGGGCCCGCACAAGCGUGGAGCAUGUGGUUUAAUUCGAUGAUACGCGAGGAACCUUACCUGGGCUCAAAUGUAUGUUGACGUAUUCUGAAAGGGAUACUUCUUCGGACAAUAUACAAGGUGCUGCAUGGUUGUCGUCAGCUCGUGCCGUGAGGUGUCGGGUUAAGUCCCAUAACGAGCGCAACCCCUAUCAUUAGUUGCCAUCAGGUCAAGCUGGGGACUCUAAUGAAACUGCCUACGCAAGUAGUGAGGAAGGUGGGGAUGACGUCAAAUCAGCACGGCCCUUACGUCCAGGGCUACACACGUGCUACAAUGGCCGGUACAAAGGGCAGCUACCUGGUGACAGGAUGCUAAUCUCAAAAGCCGGUCUCAGUUCGGAUCGGAGUCUGCAACCCGACUCCGUGAAGUUGGAAUCGCUAGUAAUCGUGGAUCAGCAUGCCACGGUGAAUACGUUCCCGGGCCUU
rnacentral:rRNA from 1 species